GAAAUGCGAUAAGUAAUGUGAAUUGCAGAAUUCAGUGAAUCAUCGAAUCUUUGAAAGCACAUUGCGCCCGCCAGUAUUCUGGCGGGCAUGCCUGUUCGAGCGUCAUUUCAACCAUCAAGCCCCCGGCUUGUGUUGGGGACCUGCGGCUGCCCGCAGGCCCUGAAAAACAGUGGCGGGCUCGCUGUCACACCGAGCGUAGUAGCAUACAUUCUCGCUCAGGGCGUGCUGCGGGUUCCGGCCGUUAAACGACCUUCAUAACCCAAGGUUGACCUCGGAUCAGGUAGGAAGACCCGCUGAACUUAAGC
rnacentral:misc_RNA from 1 species